rnacentral:rRNA from 1 species
AGAUGGCGACCGGCGCACGGGUGAGUAACACGUAUCCAACCUGCCGAUGACUCGGGGAUAGCCUUUCGAAAGAAAGAUUAAUACCCGAUGGCAUAGUUCUUCCGCAUGGUAGAACUAUUAAAGAAUUUCGGUCAUCGAUGGGGAUGCGUUCCAUUAGGUUGUUGGCGGGGUAACGGCCCACCAAGCCUUCGAUGGAUAGGGGUUCUGAGAGGAAGGUCCCCCACAUUGGAACUGAGACACGGUCCAA